rnacentral:lncRNA from 1 species
GGAAAAUUGUUUAUCGUUUUUAUCAAUUGUUUAUCAUAUAGGCUAUACCAUGAAAAUAUCAUAAUGCAAAAAAGUCCGAUGGUCCUAAAAACAGUUCUCUUUUAUGCAAACUAUGCAUAUUAAUUAUCAUUCCUUUCUAUCGGUUUUAGGGUGAAUUAUGACCUGUACGUGUUCUUCUUAUGUGUCUUUAACAAAAUGUGAGAUAAAACAAGGUCUCAUUUAAUCGAUUUAUCAUUGACUUACAUCAUUGCCAGGUAGUUCCUAAAGAAAUGGCGCAGGUGUCCGAACUGCAGGAGUCUCUUCUUGUUUUCAGCCACACUUUUGCCGAGCUCGUCCCAGGCGUUCAGGCUGGUCUGAAUCUCAGUCCCUACAGCGUUCUGCAGCUCCAGACGUCUGGCCUCAAGCUCCUGCUCCAGCUGGCAGCUCUCUUGCUCCGCCACGCUCACGGACUCGGGGUCUCCAGCCAGAGACGCCUGCCUGAUGGACAGCUCCACCGCCUCCAACCACGCCUGAAGACUGGCCAGAGACUGCAGCAUCCGCACCACCUGCCAAUCACAGCCAGACAACUCGCACUGAUCAAUUAAACACAGCUGCUGUGAACUGUCUGUUCUCUGCAAUGCACAAAUCACAAAUACACUCAUGAGGCAGAGCAGACUUUACUUUCUAUCCCACACUGCAUUAUGAGAUAUAAUAUUACAUGCAGUGUGACUGAUUGUAUACUGAACAAUUUACAAACUGCAUGCAUUCAAUAAAAUUUUUUUAUUUUGCAUUUGAAAUCAAAUUUUGUGUAGAAUAUCUUAUCUUUUGGCAGUCCAAUGAAAUAGUGAGUCAAAAAGAUAAAAAAUGCAAAUAUGUCCUAAUACUAAUUUUUUUCCCCUUUUUAUGUUACUUUCAUUUCAUUUACUUGGCAUUGUGUUAUUUGUAUUAUAUGUAUUCAACUUAAGUAACGUAAGCACAUUUUCCAUCAAAAAAUCCCUGUAAUGCAUCAACAUUUCUUUUUUUUUUUGCAUUCCCAAUUACAUUUUCAAGACUGUAAUAAAGCAAAUAUUAAAUGCAACAAAACAAAAAUUGCAAUAUUUUUUAUUUAUAUUUUAUAAUGUAAUAAGCAUAAAUGAAAUAUGUAAUUUAGACUACUUUUUUACAUACAUUUUCUCCAUGCAAAAUACACUUUGAAUGCAAAAUGCAAUGAUCAAUAUUUCAAACUGUAAUUUGCUACAUUUUUGUUACAUAACCUUGUUACGUUACAUGUAUAAUCCAUCUUGUAAAGUAAUACUGUUUUUGUAUUUUUAUUCCAGUUUUGUGUACAUUUUUUGUCGGUUUAAUAAAAAAUAAAAAAAAAUUCAUGAUAGAUAGCAUUUCAUGCUCAUCACACUGGAAAUGUAUUCUCAGUGUUGCACGCACUGCAUUAUGGGAUACAGUACUCCACAGUGUACUCUAGUUGUAUACUGUACAGUUUGGCAAAUGCAGUUGUGUGGGCAUUUCUUGGCAUAAUAAAUGGCAUAUUUUGCUCAGUAUACAUACUGCAUACUAUUUUCUUUAAACAACAGAAGGCAUGCCCUUCCAAACAUUCAGGGAAACACCAGAUAUAUGUACCCUGCAGUUGAGCUCCUCUGAGACCUUCAGGACCAGACCGUUCCUCUCAUGCCUUCUCUUCAGCUCGUCCCACAGAACCUCCAGCUGACUCAGAAACUCCUGGAUCUUGAUGCUGCCCGGAUGCUGAGCCCUCACCAGACUGUAACCCUCCUGGAUGGAAACAAGAGGUUUGUAGAGGUUGGUCGCAUUAGAUAUAAUGAAGGGAGACGUGAAAGACGGACAUCGCGUUGUUUUCAUGUGGAUUACUGUAUCAAAGAAUA